rnacentral:rRNA from 3 species
AAAGAAACCAACAGGGAAUUGCCUUAGUAACGGCGAGUGAAGCGGCAAAAGCUCAAAUUUGAAAUCUGGCACCUUCGGUGUCCGAGUUGUAAUUUGAAGAAGGUAACUUUGGAGUUGGCUCUUGUCUAUGUUCCUUGGAACAGGACGUCACAGAGGGUGAGAAUCCCGUGCGAUGAGAUGCCCAAUUCUAUGUAAAGUGCUUUCGAAGAGUCGAGUUGUUUGGGAAUGCAGCUCUAAGUGGGUGGUAAAUUCCAUCUAAAGCUAAAUAUUGGCGAGAGACCGAUAGCGAACAAGUACAGUGAUGGAAAGAUGAAAAGAACUUUGAAAAGAGAGUGAAAAAGUACGUGAAAUUGUUGAAAGGGAAGGGCUUGAGAUCAGACUUGGUAUUUUGCGAUCCUUUCCUUCUUGGUUGGGUUCCUCGCAGCUUACUGGGCCAGCAUCGGUUUGGAUGGUAGGAUAAUGACUAAGGAAUGUGGCUCUACUUCGGUGGAGUGUUAUAGCCUUGGUUGAUACUGCCUGUCUAGACCGAGGACUGCGUCU